CUGAACCGUCGUGACUGGCGGUUACUCGCGGCGGCUUCUCCUCCUCCGUAAGAGGACAUGCUGAGUCGGCGGCGGAGUUUAACUUGUCGGAAGAUAUAUUCAGAGUAGAACAUAAGAAACGCAGAGGACCGGAGCAGCCGUGGGCCACUUGCAGACCGUUGUUACUAUUCCAUUGCUACAGCCUACAGGAACAAGCUACUCAUAUAAAGCAUUAAACUUUGGAAAAACAAAGGCUCAAAAACAAAGCAGGGGGAGACCAGUCGUUGGUCCAAAAAACAAAAUACCCAUUUGCUGAUUUUGAGUUUCCCCUUUGCUUUUCUCUAUUCUCGAGGUUAGUCCUAAAGUUGCAACUUUUCCUUUACUUAAAAACCCCAAAACAUACAUUUUUAAAAAUAAGAUAACGAAAUCUUGAAUGUUGAUCCUUAUAAGAGACUGUUUUGUAUUGUAAUUUUUGUUUUGAAUUUAAAGUAGUAAUAUUCUUUUUUCCCGA